CUUGAGCCAAAACCAUCACAACAGACCAGGGACAGAAGCGGCUUUGGGGAUCCGGCCACUCUUCCCACUGACCGUUUUGCGUUUGAUCAUAAGCUUCUCUCUCAGCAGCUGGAUCCGGACCCCGCCCUCUGCAGAUUUUCCACAGCACCCAGCACGGAGCCACACGAACAAGAGGUGCUGGGGGUCCACACCUGAGGAGGACUGAGGUGUGCGUGUGACCACAGAUCGAAAGACUUCAUAGAAGAGGAUACCAAUGAACCAAACACAUAUGUGAAAAA